UACGUAGGGGGCAAGCGUUGUCCGGAAUCAUUGGGCGUAAAGAGCGCGUAGGCGGUCCGGUAAGUCCGCUCUGAAAGUCCGGGGCUCAACCCCGGGAGGCGGGCGGAUACUGUCGGGCUUGAGUCCGGAAGAGGCGAGUGGAAUUCCUGGUGUAGCGGUGAAAUGCGCAGAUAUCAGGAGGAACACCAAUGGCGAAGGCAGCUCGCUGGGACGGUACUGACGCUGAGACGCGAAAGCGUGGGGAGCGAACAGG
rnacentral:rRNA from 1 species